rnacentral:lncRNA from 1 species
GCACAUGUGCUUUAUUUGUUUCCUUGCAAGAACCAAAUGUACCGAAACAGUGCAGCACGUUUGAGCCCACGUUUGGAAUAGAAAAGCUUGUUUGAGACCACAUUUAAGAGAAAAUGAGAAAUUUGGUGGCCUUCACAAGCCAACGAGAAAAGCAAAAUCAAAGAAAAAGAGGAAAAUCACCAAGCUUUAAAAAGAAAACGGGUUCAACUGAAUGGAGUUGGCAGAAGAAAGCUGAAAUUAACCUAUUGCUAAUGAAAAUGAUGGAGACUAAGCAGAAAUUAGGUCCAGAAAUUUUUUUUAAAAAAAAAGGAAAGGCAGAGGAGAGGAGGGGCGGCGCUGUCUCUGCAAAUGGGAAUGAUGCUGUAGAGUAAAGGGAAAGAGGAAAGGGAGUAGCUGAAUGGAGUUGGCAGAAGAAAGCAGAAAUUAACCUAUUGCUAAUGAAAAUGAUGGAGGCUAAGCAGAAAUUAGGUCCAGAAAUUUAAAAAAAAAAAAAAAAGUCAGAGGAGAGGAGGGGCGGCGCUGUUUCUGUAAAUGGGAAUGAUGUUGUAGAGUAAAGGGAAGGAGGAAAGGGAGUAAUGGAGGUAUACGGAUAGGGCAAGGGAGAGCAAAGGGGAAAGAAGGGAGAGCAGGAGGAAGAGCGGCGGGAGAUAAGAUACGAUACUCUUAGGGUUAGAAAUUAGAAAAAAAAAAAAAAA